CAUCACACCGCUAAACGCAUCUGAACCCAACAAAUUAUCCACUGCCCCGACUACGCCGCUGCCUUCCUUCCCCACCGCUGUGACGCCUCCCAGCCUCUGCCGCCGCCCCACGCGACGGACGCCAUCUCUCCCCUAUUUCCCUCUUCACCUCCACGGCCACGCCGCGUCGCCGGCCGAGCCCCGCUGCGGUCGCUAUGUUCCGCCGCGCCGCCCCUUAGCCCCACACCUAAGCCGCAGCCGAGAUGCAUCUGAGCGAGAACAAGGGGAUCGAGGACGUGCGGUUCGCGGUGACUGGCGGGCAGGGCUUCGUCAGCGCUGCGCUAUGCCUGGAGCUGAUCCGCCGCGGCGCCCUGCAGGUCUGCUCCCUCGACGACUCGACCUGCGCGAGUCCUCCUCUUGGUCCCAGCAGCUCCUCGACGUCGGCGUCCGCUUCUUCCAAGGUUCUCUCCCGCACUCUCUUUAGCUUAGAUUACUGUGGUUCUUUUCUUCUGUCGCGCGUGAGACUUAAAUGCAGCGUCGCAGCGAAGAAGGUAAUUUGUUUUUCUGUCCAAUGCGUUGAAGCUACAAUGUACGUGCUUAGUAAAUUGUUUAGGGCGGUGUGAGACUUAUAAUGCCUGCCAACUUAGUGAAUUGAUAAACCUGGAAGUUUGUGUUUUUCACUUCACUUGAAUUUGCACAAUUCAGUUAUGUGUUCAUUGAAUGGAUUUGACAUGACAUUUCCUGCAGGCAAUGAGGGAAGUAGAUGGGCAUGGCUGGUCUGUUCGUCAUGCAGUUAUGUGCUAUCUUAUUCCUUGAUGCUGAGUGUGAUUCCAUGCAUGUGCAAGCUAUAUGUACUCUUAAGCUAUUAGUGUUCUCUAACUUAUUUCCUACUAUUCCUGUAUGGUACCAUGUCAGAUUUAGAACCCAGCAAAGAAAUAUGGCAGAAAUUUGCAUAUUAUUUUUUCUUGUGCAGGUUUGAGAUAUAAAUGUCAUACAGAUGCUUCUUUGCCAUGAGUGUGUAAACUUGAUGAGGCAACAUGGUCUUCAAGCACAAGAAAUACCCAUGGACGUGAGUGCGGGCUGCCGCUCCGCCCUCCACUCCUCUGCUUGACCACCGCCGCCGCCAUAUCGAGGCCCUCGCCACCAAGCGGCAUGCUUUCCCGAGGAUCAGCAGCUAAUGGCAAACGUGCUAGCAAGCCCUGAGUGCGGUGGCCCGUGCAACAUGAAGAAGACCAUCCGGACAAAGGGCAGGUACACAAAUAGCUAAGAACACAAGGAGACGUGCAGGUACCUUGAUUUUGUAAGCAAGAUCUCAAGAAAGUAUAUAGGGAGGAGAUUGACAAGGUGCAUGCAAGAUCUCAAGUUCAUUGCUGUCUUUUUCUGUCUGAACAUUUUCUUAUUUGGAGUUGCAGCCGAUUUAUGGUGUACCAACCGACUUGGCUUAGGAUGUAUUGUAGUUGGUUUGGUUGCAUCAACCAACAAGUCUUAUUAUGUAUUGCAGUUGGUUUGGUACCAUCAGCCGACUGGCCGGUUGGAAAACAAGCGGGGAAAACAUGUACUGUGAGCUCCCCUCGCAUUCAGAGUUUGGAGCUUGAUGAAUAAUGAUGUGUGAGCUUGUUGAUGAUCUGCUAUUUUUCACAAAAUUGGGACAUGUCGGAUGGUCGAUGUGAGGUUCUCUAAGUAAAAAAAUUCCUCAUUUGUCCGUUGUGAUAGUCUGAUGGAAUUUUGUUGAUAAGAACCUACAAUUUCUUGGGAAUUCUUGUUGUAAAGAGCGAAGGCAUGGUGUUUGGUUUGCAUGACAUUAUAUCUUCAAUUGGCUGGAGAUAUAUAAAUGUUGUACUUGAUUUUCUCACCUGGCAUCUUAUCACUUCUGUGAAAGACACUUGAUUUUCUCAUAGUAAUGGUUCUUUAUUAUUGUUGAUACAUAAAUGGAUCUUUAUUGAAUGGUACUUGUAUGUGUGUAUGGAGAAUGGUGAUUAACCUUUUAAA